GUGCUAUUCCCUCCGUCCCAAAAAUUUUGUCUUAGAUUUGUCUAGAUAUGGAUGUAUCAAGUCACGUUUUAGUAUUAGAUACAUCCGUAUCUAGACAAAUCUAAGACAAGAAUUUUGGGACAGAGAGAGUAUAUA
rnacentral:pre_miRNA from 1 species